UACAGGGGGGGCAAGCGUUGUUCGGAAUUACUGGGCGUAAAGGGUCUGUAGGUGGCCAACUAAGUCAGACGUGAAAUCCCUCAGCUUAACUGGGGAACUGCGUCUGAUACUGGAUGGCUUGAGAUUGGGAGAGGGAUGCGGAAUUCCAGGUGUAGCGGUGAAAUGCGUAGAUAUCUGGAGGAACACCGGUGGCGAAGGCGGCGACCUGGUCCGAUACUGACGCUGAGGCGCGAAAGCGUGGGGAGCGAACAGG
rnacentral:rRNA from 1 species